rnacentral:rRNA from 1 species
CCUAUGUAUUACCGCGGCUGCUGGCACGUAGUUAGCCGUGGCUUUCUGGUUAGGUACCGUCAAGGUACCGGCAGUUACUCCGGUACUUGUUCUUCCCUAACAACAGAGCUUUACGACCCGAAGGCCUUCAUCGCUCACGCGGCGUUGCUCCAUCAGACUUUCGUCCAUUGUGGAAGAUUCCCUACUGCUGCCUCCCGUAGGAGUCUGGGCCGUGUCUCAGUCCCAGUGUGGCCGAUCACCCUCUCAGGUCGGCUACGCAUCGUCGCCUUGGUGAGCCGUUACCUCACCAACUAGCUAAUGCGCCGCGGGCCCAUCUGUAAGUGUCAGCCGAAACCGACUUUCAGCUUUUCCUCAUGAGAGGAAAAGGAUUAUCCGGUAUUAGCAACUCG